GAUGAACGCUGGCGGCGUGCCUAACACAUGCAAGUCGAACGAAGCGAUUUAACGGAAGUUUUCGGAUGGAAGUUGAAUUGACUGAGUGGCGGACGGGUGAGUAACGCGUGGGUAACCUGCCUUGUACUGGGGGACAACAGUUAGAAAUGACUGCUAAUACCGCAUAAGCGCACAGUAUCGCAUGAUACAGUGUGAAAACUCCGGUGGUACAAGAUGGACCCGCGUCUGAUUAGCUAGUUGGUAAGGUAACGGCCCACCAAGGCGACGAUCGGUAGCCGGACUGAGAGGUUGAACGGCCACAUUGGGACUGAGACACGGCCCAG
rnacentral:rRNA from 1 species